rnacentral:rRNA from 1 species
GAUGAACGCUGGCGGCGUGCCUAAUACAUGCAAGUCGAGCGAACGGACGAGAAGUUUGCUUCUCUGAUGUUUUCGGCAGACGGGUGUGUAACGCGUGGAUACCCUACCUUUAAGACUGAGAUCACUUCGAGACACCGGCUAUAAUACCGUAUAAUAUUUUGUACCACAUUGUUCAAUAAUGAAAGACGAUCUUGUUGUUACUUAUUGAUUGAUCCUCGCUUCAUUUGCUUGUUGGUAAGAUAACGGCUUACCAAGGCAACGAUGCAUAGCCGACCUGGGAGGGGGAUCGGCAACCCGGGAACGGAGACACGGUCCGGACUCCUACGGGAGGCAGCAGUAGGGAAUCUUCCGAAAUGGGCGAAGGCCUGACGGAGAAACGCCGCGGGAGUGAGGAAGGUAUUCGGAUGGAAAGACUCGGUGAUUAGGGAAGAACAUAUGUGGAAGUAAAUGUGCACAUCGUGACGGUACCUAAUCAGAAAGCCACGGCUAACUACGUG